rnacentral:rRNA from 1 species
UACAGAGGGGGCAAGCGUUGUUCGGAAUUACUGGGCGUAAAGGGCGCGUAGGCGGCCUGCUAAGUCGAACGUGAAAUCCCCGGGCUCAACCCGGGAACUGCGUCCGAUACUGGUAGGCUUGAAUUCGGGAGAGGGAUGCGGAAUUCCAGGUGUAGCGGUGAAAUGCGUAGAUAUCUGGAGGAACACCGGUGGCGAAGGCGGCAUCCUGGACCGACAUUGACGCUGAGGCGCGAAAGCCAGGGGAGCAAAGCGGG